rnacentral:rRNA from 1 species
UUGACCUCGGAUCAGGUAGGGAUACCCGCUGAACUUAAGCAUAUCAAUAAGCGGAGGAAAAGAAACCAACCGGGAUUGCCCUAGUAACGGCGAGUGAAGCGGCAAGAGCUCAAAUUUGAAAGCUGGCCCCCUCGGGGUCCGCAUUGUAAUUUGCAGAGGAUGCUUCGGGAGCGGUCCCCAUCUAAGUGCCCUGGAACGGGCCGUCAUAGAGGGUGAGAAUCCCGUAUGGGAUGGGGUGCCCGCGCCCGUGUGAAGCUCCUUCGACGAGUCGAGUUGUUUGGGAAUGCAGCUCUAAUUGGGUGGUAAAUUUCAUCUAAAGCUAAAUAUUGGCCGGAGACCGAUAGCGCACAAGUAGAGUGAUCGAAAGAUGAAAAGCACUUUGAAAAGAGAGUUAAACAGCACGUGAAAUUGUUGAAAGGGAAGCGCUUGCGAUCAGACUCGCCCACGGGGUUCAGCCGGCAUUCGUGCCGGUGUACUUCCCCGCGGGCGGGCCAGCGUCGGUUUGGGCGGUCGGUCAAAGGCCCCUGGAAUGUAACGCCUCUCGGGGCGUCUUAUAGCCAGGGGUGCCAUGCGACCUGCCCGGACCGAGGAACGCGCUUCGGCUCGGACGCUGGCAUAAUGGUCGUAAGCGACC